GAUGAACGCUAGCGGCAGGCCUAAUACAUGCAAGACGAACGGUAAGUUGAGUAGCAAUACUUAGCCAAGAGUGUCGUACGGGUGCGUAACACGUAUGCAACCUACCCUAUACAGGAGGAUAGCCUAGGGAAACCUGGAUUAACCCUUCAUAGUAUUAUUGGAUGGCAUCAUUUGAUAAUUAAAACUGAGGUGGUAUAGGAUGGGCAUGCGUCUGAUUAGUUAGUUGGCGGGGUAAUGGCCCACCAAGACGAUGAUCAGUAGGGGUUCUGAGAGGAAGAUCCCCCACACUGGCACUGAGAUACGGGCCAGACUCCUACGGGAGGCAGCAGUAGGGAAUAUUGGUCAAUGGAUGCAAGUCUGAACCAGCCAUGCCGCGUGCAGGAAGAAGGCCUUCUGGGUUGUAAACUGCUUUUGCCAGGGGAUAAAAUUUCCAUGCGUGGAAAACUGAAGGUACCUGGUGAAUAAGCCACGGCUAAACUACGUGCCAGCAGCCGCGGUAAU
rnacentral:rRNA from 1 species